rnacentral:rRNA from 1 species
GACGAACGCUGGCGGCGUGCUUAACACAUGCAAGUCGAGCGGUAAGGCCCUUUCGGGGGUACACGAGCGGCGAACGGGUGAGUAACACGUGGGUGACCUGCCCUCAGCUCUGGGAUAAGCCUGGGAAACCGGGUCUAAUACCGGAUAUGACUCCAUGACGCAUGUUGUGGGGUGGAAAGCCUUGUGCGGCUGAGGAUGGGCCCGCGGCCUAUCAGCUUGUUGGUGGGGUGAUGGCCUACCAAGGCGACGACGGGUAGCCGGCCUGAGAGGGCGACCGGCCACACUGGGACUGAGACACGGCCCAGACUCCUACGGGAGGCAGCAGUGGGGAAUCUUGCGCAAUGGGCGAAAGCCUGACGCAGCGACGCCGCGUGAGGGAUGACGGCCUGGUGUAACGU